UGGUCCUAGCCUUGUAAUCAGUUAUUACUUAAUUUACACAUGCAAGUCUCCGCACCCCUGUGAAAACGCCCUUAAACUCCCCCUAGGAACAAGGAGCUGGUAUCAGGCGCAGCCCCUAGCCCAAGACACCUAGCUAUGCCACACCCACACGGGAAUUCAGCAGUGAUUAACAUUGAUAGUAAGCGACAGCUUGACUCAGUCAAAGUAAAAAGAGCCGGCAAAUCUGGUGCCAGCCGCCGCGGUUACACCAUUAGGCUCAAAUUGAUUUCUUUCGGCGUAAAGCGUGAUUAAAGCCAUUAAUAAAUUAUAGCCAAACCCGUACUAAGCCGUGACACGCUUGUAUUGGGGAAAACCUAAACGAAAGUCGCUGUAAUUAAAACAACUUGAACCCACGACAGUUGGGGAACAAACUGGGAUUAGAUACCCCACUAUGCCCAACCGUAAACUUUAACUUACACCGAUAUCGCCCGGGAACUACGAGCAAAGCUUAAAACCCAAAGGACUUGACGGUACCCCAUAUCCACCUAGAGGAGCCUGUCCUGUAAUCGAUAAUCCCCGUUCAACCUCACCAUUUUUAGCCUAUUAGCUUAAUAGCUUAUCAGCCUGUAUACCUCCGUCGUCAGCUUACCACGUGAGCGACCCAUAGUGAGCUUAAUGCCCUUACGCCAAUACGUCAGGUCAAGGUGCAGCACAUAAAAUGGGAAGAGAUGGGCUACACUCUCUAUUCUAGAAAACACGAAAGACUAUUUAUGAAACCUAGUCGGAAGGCGGAUUUAGUAGUAAAAAGAGACCAGAGCGCUCUUUUUAAUAUGGCCCUGGGGUGUGUACACACCGCCCGUCACCCUCUUCAAAGCCGUCAUAAAGUUCUUAACCCACCUAAGCACUACAGAAGAGGCAAGUCGUAACAUGGUAAGUAUACCGGAAGGUGUGCUUGGAAA
rnacentral:ncRNA from 1 species